rnacentral:rRNA from 17 species
AAGACGGAAAGACCCCAUGGAGCUUUACUCCAGUCUGGUACUGGGACUCGGUAUUGCAUGUACAGGAUAGGUGGGAGGCUAGGAGAUGGUAACGCCAGUUGCCAUGGAGCCGCUGUUGGGAUACCACCCUUGCAGUAUUGGGUUUCUAACCAGCCGCCGUGACCCGGCGGUGGGACAAUGCCAGACGGGGAGUUUGACUGGGGCGGUCGCCUCCGAAAGGGUAUCGGAGGCGCCCAAAGGUUCCCUCAGAAUGGACGGAAACCAUUCGAAGAGUGCAAAGGCAGAAGGGAGCUUGACUGCGACACCGACGGGUGGAGCAGGUACGAAAGUAGG